GACAGAGGGUGCAAACGUUGCUCGGAAUUACUGGGCGUAAAGCGCGUGUAGGUGGAUUGGUGUGUCAGAUGUGAAAUCCCUGGGCUCAACCCAGGAACUGCACCUGAAACUACCAGUCUUGAGUGGUGGAGAGGGAAGUGGAAUUCCUGGUGUAGCGGUGGAAUGCGCAGAUAUCAGGAGGAACACCGGUGGCGAAGGCGGGUCUCUGGGCAGUAACUGACGCUGGAGGAGCGAAAGCGUGGGGAGCGAACAGG
rnacentral:rRNA from 1 species